rnacentral:rRNA from 1 species
GACGAACGCUGGCGGCGUGCUUAACACAUGCAAGUCGAACGCUGAAGCUCAGCUUUUGUUGGGUGGAUGAGUGGCGAACGGGUGAGUAACACGUGAGUAACCUGCCCCCUUCUUUGGGAUAACGCCCGGAAACAGGUGCUAAUACUGUAUAUUCACUGGUCUUCGCAUGGGGGUUGGUGGAAAGGGUUUUUCUGGUGGGGGAUGGGCUCGCGGCCUAUCAGCUUGUUGGUGGGGUGAUGGCCUACCAAGGCUUUGACGGGUAGCCGGCCUGAGAGGGUGACCGGUCACAUUGGGACUGAGAUACGGCCCAGACUCCUACGGGAGGCAGCAGUGGGGAAUAUUGCACAAUGGGCGCAAGCCUGAUGCAGCGACGCCGCGUGAGGGAUGGAGGCCUUCGGGUUGUGAACCUCUUUCGCUCAUGGUCAAGCCGCAACAAUGGUUGUGGUGAGGGUAGUGGGUAAAGAAGCGCCGGCUAACUACGUG